rnacentral:rRNA from 1 species
CCUACGGGUGGCAGCAGUGAGGAAUAUUGGUCAAUGGGCGCGAGCCUGAACCAGCCAAGUAGCGUGAAGGAUGACUGCCCUACGGGUUGUAAACUUCUUUUAUAAGGGAAUAAAGUGAGGCACGUGUGCCUUUUUGUAUGUACCUUAUGAAUAAGGAUCGGCUAAUUCCGUGCCAGCAGCCGCGGUAAUACGGAGUAUCGGAGCGUUAUCCGGAUUUAUUGGGUUUAAAGGGAGCGUAGAUGGUUUUUUAAGUCAGUUGUGAAAAUUUGCGGCUCAACCGUAAAAGUGCAUUUGAUACUGGGGGACUUGAUUACGUGUAAGGUAGGCGGAAUUCGUGGUGUAGCGGUGAAAUGCUUAGAUAUCACGAAGAACUCCGAUUGCGAAGGCAGCCUACUAAAGUACCACUGACAUUGAGGCUCGAAAGUGUGGGUAUCAAACAGGAUUAGAUACCCUAGUAGUC